UAUAAAUGUAAUUUAUAAAACUUAAUUAGUAUUAGUUAUGGUCUUUAAAAUUAAAGAUUUUGGCGGUAUUUUAGUCUUUUCAGAGGAACCUGUCCUAUAAUUGAUAGUCCACGAUUAAUUUUACUUAUUUUAAAUAGUUUGUAUAUCGUUGUAGUUAAAUAUUUUAUAAGAAAAAUAAUAUUUGAAGUUUUCAAGAGAAAAAAAUAUCAGAUCAAGGUGCAGCUUAUAGAUAAGGAGAGAUGGGUUACAAUAAAUUUAUUUAAAUGGAUGACAAAAUGAAAUUUUUAACUGAAAGUGGAUUUGAAAGUAAUUAAUUUAAUUUAUUUUUAAUGAUUAAAGCUCUAAAAUGUGU
rnacentral:rRNA from 1 species